AUCAGCCUUUUGGGUGUGAUUUUGUGGACGUGAGGAGUUAAACGCCUUCAUGCCUGCAUAUUCGUGCACUUUGGGUGUACUUGCCCGUGUGGUUGGUUAACAUCAAUUUUGGUUAUCAAAAAAUGACUGGAGGAAUGUAGCUUCGAUCUCGUAUUGAAGUGUUAUAGCCUUCGGUAGAUGUGAUGAUCGAGAUUGAGGAUUGCAACGGAUACCCUUCGGGGCUACCUGUCUGGUCUCUGAUCGUUGCUCUGGUGCCGAAAGCUUGCUUACGGUUAUCAAAGUCGAUGGUCAAUAGGUUAGAACGGGUUAAAUUCGUUAAGGAUGUUGACGUAAUGGCUUU
rnacentral:rRNA from 1 species